rnacentral:rRNA from 1 species
ACGCUCGACACCUACGGAGGCAGCAGUCGGGAAUAUUGCGCAAUGGAGGAAACUCUGACGCAGUGACGCCGCGUAUAGGAAGAAGGUUUUCGGAUUGUAAACUAUUGUCGUUAGGGAAGAGAAAGGACAGUACCUAAGGAGGAAGCUCCGGCUAACUACGUGCCAGUAGCCGCGGUAAUCUGAGCGGGCUGGCAAGGC